rnacentral:misc_RNA from 1 species
GAUUCGCGAGCUGCACGUAAUCAGGAAAUGAAUAUCUCCUAUGACCCCAACUAAUUUCAUGGCGAUUCCGACGUUUCCCUCUGGCUCGAUCUUAUCGAACCUCGCCUCUACCUCCACAUUCUUCCCAAUAGCUCCCUCUCUUCUCUUCACUCCACAUAUUGACCAAAACCCUAAAUCGGAGUGAUUCGACUCACUCAACGCGCGCGCUCACAAACAGAGAAGUGUCCUCUGGCCAUGCGACUCUGGUUCUCUG